CUCAUGCUGACACACAACUUUACAACAGUAAGUCAAGAUUCUUCCACCUCAUUUAGCUAACGCUGCACAGGUCGCACAUUAUUGUGGUUUUAUAAAAGAUACGCAGUGUUAAACUACAAAUAUUUGAACUUUUUUUGUUUUUCACAGGUAUUAUAUACUUUACUGUUAUUAUCUUCAAAAGAUGUUCAGUUCAAACAGAACCAGAAUGAGAAAAGUACAAUUCCCUCGAGAAAGCCAAACUACAAAGUGCUGUGAGUGCAGCUCGAGUGGAAGCAUUUUAAAAUCUUCUGGUGGGCUGAGAACGUUCAUAAACUUCUUUUUCUGCUCGAGCGUUGCCGACUUAAAGAAAGCUCUGUUUGCUCGGGACUCAAAAGGGACCCCGGAGUUCACUGAGGCUUCCCAUGUCCCCCCCACUCACACACUGAUGGGACGGCGGAACAAACUGGACCCUCUUCUGUGUUCUGGUGACACGAGGACAUGGAGACAUCCGGAAGCUCCGGUCCUGAUGGGACGCCUUCAGCCCAAGAGGUCUCUGCUGGACUCCGGC
ensembl:lncRNA